UGGUCCAUUCUAAUCCCUGCCGGCCAGCUUGUGGCCCGCCAGGUUUCGCUUGUGGACCAGAGCACCCUAGAAGCCUCCCCUGGGGAGUGAGCAGGGAUCAGUGGGCUCACGCCAUGGGUGCUUCUAGACACUC
ensembl:snoRNA SNORA52 small nucleolar RNA SNORA52